GACGAACGCUGGCGGCGUGCUUAACACAUGCAGGUCGAACGAAAAGGCCCUGCGUUUGUGGGUUUCUCGAGUGGCGAACGGGUGAGUAACACAUGAGUAACCUCCCCUUAUCUUUGGGAUAACUCUUGGAAACUGCGGCUAAUACCGGAUAGGAGCUCCUGCUCCAUGGUGUUGGUCAGAAAGUUUCGGCGGUUGGGGAUGGACUCGCGGCUUACGAGCUUGUUGGUGGGGUAGUGGCUUACCAAGGCUUCGACGGAUACCCGGCCUGAGAGCGGUACCGGCGACAGUGGGACUGAGAUAGGGACCAGACUGCUACGGGAGGCAGCAGUGGGGAAUAUGGCAGAGUGGGCGGGAGCGUGAGGUAGAGACGCCGCGUGCGGGAAGACCGCUUACGAGGUGUAAACCGCUGUCGCCGGAAACGAACAGGGAGUGACGGUAAUGGGUAAGGAAGCACCGGCUAACUACGUG
rnacentral:rRNA from 1 species